GGGGGAGGGAUGCAUCUACAGACCAUUAUAGAAGCGCCAUUGCGUUAUACUUUCAAGGAAGAUAUCGUAGCCGCACUUUUCAUAAGAUGAGCAGUUCUACACUAGUACACAGUUGAAAGAGCAACCCACAUACUUUACAUAUUAUAUGAGAUAUUAGAAGAAAACUGAAGGGAUGAGUUUAGAACUGUAAUAGAAUGCCUAUAUUUUUUUUACGGUUUCAACAGGCUAUUACGAUAACUGUCGUGGGUAUAAGUCUGACAGUAGAAGUACGGGGUAUGAAAGUAUAUGGGCAGAGCCUUAGCUAUGGCGAGGAUGUAUGAGUUCAGGCCCCUCUAUGCUGGAGGUAAAAGCCCUACGUCUCAGUGCUCUUGGGAGCUUUGUGUCGAGUGUAUUAAGGGAUUACAACAAGUGCCAACCCCUGUACCAGUGGUGAAGGGCGGCUUAUAUAGAGUGCGCUGCCCUUCAUAAUGGUCCGCUGGACAGGGGUGGAGUAGUGGCGAGUAAACGCUGGCAUUACUGGUAACGUAAGCUUUAAAUGCUAGUUAUGGUCUAUGAAAACGUAUGACCGUUGCCCUCCUGGGAGGUUACGAUGUAGAGAGUGGAUUCCAGUCGGUACGUUAGAUAUGCUCUGAGUGGAUCGUCGGCGACUGGAUGAUGGGGGCGUCCUUAGUUCAGUCGGAACUGUCUAAGGGCCUUGUCCCCUAUGAAGGGUAGUCCUUGAGUACGACCUAUAGGGCAGACCUAUGACCCUACCCUGGGACUAUAACCCCAUCAUUAGUCCCCGAAUGGAUCGGGGCUGGAACGAUGAAGUGAUGUCCGGAGUUUGGAGCCGACUGGUAUUGAGGUGAUCUUAGUGUUGUCUGCCUCGAUCCAUUUUAUCUUUGCGGCUAGUGAUCCGAGUGAAUA
rnacentral:lncRNA from 1 species